rnacentral:rRNA from 1 species
UACGGAGGGGGCUAGCGUUGUUCGGAAUUACUGGGCGUAAAGCGCGCGUAGGCGGCUUUGUAAGUUAGAGGUGAAAGCCCGGAGCUCAACUCCGGAACUGCCUUUAAGACUGCAUCGCUAGAAUUGUGGAGAGGUGAGUGGAAUUCCGAGUGUAGAGGUGAAAUUCGUAGAUAUUCGGAAGAACACCAGUGGCGAAGGCGGCUCUCUGGGACGGUACUGACGCUGAGACGCGAAAGCGUGGGGAGCGAACAGG